GGCGUGAGGCCGCGGAAAGCGCAAAGAUUGAACCGAAUGUUGGCAGAAGUCAAGAAGAAGACAGUGGCUGCUUUGGGUCCUUUCUGGCUCUGAAAUGAAUUCUAAUAGAUUUGGAUGCAUCGUCAUCAUCUAGUCUUCUAUUCCUGCUGGUACUGAGGGUAAUACAAGAAGAUUCUAAAACAAACCCAAAACUCAGUGUGCCCCCUUGAUGCUGGAGGAUUCCAGAGAGCCAUCCUGAUGUUCUGACUCCAGAUUGUACAGCUGAUGCAGUGUGGGUGCACCGCCUUCUGAAGCCUGAGCAGUCUGAAGACGUGCCCGGAGCAGGCCAUGCUCUUGUUGCCUGGGGACCUUCUGCACUGUCGCUACCAUUGCUGAAACUGAACCCUAGGGUUGUCUGCAGACCCAGGCCAAGCCAAACCUCUGUGGCUCUAAUUAUGCAGAUCCUAACCCAGGUUAUGGUUGUUCCUUGUAGUACAGAGGAGAAAUGCACAAUACGUGGUCCAAUGAAAUCUUCACCAAAUGUGACCUUAUCAGCUUCAAACUCGUAUGAUUCACACUCACUUUCCUGGGGCCGUGCCUGCCUCUGGUUGGCUAUGUUGGGGGCAUAUCAACUAAUGAAUCCAGGCCAGGAUUCACUUUUUUUCCCCCAGUCAAUUGCUUCACCUAUCUUUCCCUGUGUUCACAGCAAAUUAUCUCCUAGGGAUCUUGUUCUUUUCUGUUGCCUAAUUUUAGUCCAUCAAACAAUUGUGACUCAUUUGAAUUUGAGAGGGAAAGAGACAAGUUCUCACUUCCGUUCCUCCCAAGAGUACCAUCAUGUGUUGAGGGCUUUGGCCAAUUCAUUCCCAUUCCCAGCAGAAUCUAAGUUUUCAACAGCAAUGGAUAUGUUUGGGGGUGGGAGGGGGCUAUCAAAGUGCCCUGCUGUGACUCAGAGAUACAGAGAACAGACUGAUGGUUGCCAGAGGGGAGGGGGACUGGUGGACUGAGUAAAAAAGGUGAAGGGAUUAAGAAAUACAAAUUAGAAGUUACAAAAUAGUCAUGGGAAUGUACAGCACAGCGUAGGGAAUACAGUUAAUAAUGUUGUCAUAACUGUGUAUGGUACUGGAUGGGUACUAGAAAUAUCAGGGAGAACACUUUGUAAAGUAUAUAAUCAUCUAACCACUAUGCUGUACACCUGAAACCAACAUAAAGUAAUAUUAAAUGUAAACUGUGAUUAAAAAAUCAGAUUA